rnacentral:rRNA from 1 species
CAGGUAAUUAGUAACACGUAGCAGGUAUAUAUAUAGUGGCUUGAUGGUGAGUAUGUCUGGGAAACUGCCCGAUGGAGGGGGAUAACUACUGGAAACGGUAGCUAAUACCGCAUAACGUCGCAAGACCAAAGAGGGGGACCUUCGGGCCUCUUGCCAUCGGAUGUGCCCAGAUGGGAUUAGCUAGUAGGUGGGGUAACGGCUCACCUAGGCGACGAUCCCUAGCUGGUCUGAGAGGAUGACCAGCCACACUGGAACUGAGACACGGUCCAGACUCCUACGGGAGGCAGCAGUGGGGAAUAUUGCACAAUGGGCGCAAGCCUGAUGCAGCCAUGCCGCGUGUAUGAAGAAGGCCUUCGGGUUGUAAAGUACUUUCAGCGGGGAGGAAGGGAGUAAAGUUAAUACCUUUGCUCAUUGACGUUACCCGCAGAAGAAGCACCGGCUAACUCCGUGCCAGCAGCCGCGGUAAUCGGAGGGUGCAAGCGUUAAUCGGAAUUACUGGGCGUAAAGCGCACGCAGGCGGUUUGUUAAGUCAGAUGUGAAAUCCCCGGGCUCA